rnacentral:rRNA from 1 species
UACGUAGGUGACAAGCGUUGUCCGGAUUUAUUGGGUUUAAAGGGUGCGUAGGUGGUCUAUUAAGUCAGUGCUGAAAUAUCCCGGCUUAACCGGGAGGGUGGCAUUGAUACUGAUGGACUUGAGUAAAGUUGAGGUGGGCGGAAUUGACGGUGUAGCGGUGAAAUGCUUAGAUAUCGUCAAGAACACCUAUUGCGAAGGCAGCUCACUAAGCUUUAACUGACACUGAGGCACGAAAGUGUGGGAAUCAAACAGG